rnacentral:sRNA from 1 species
CGGAGGCCUCCUCGCUGGGGAGGCAGAGUCCUCGCGUGGUCUCCUGCCUCGAGCACAGCCUGUGCCCCGGGGAGCCGGGCUUGCAGACAACAGCAGUGGUGUCCAUGGGCUCUGGAGACCAUCAGUUCAACCUCGCAGAGAUCCUGUCACAGAACUACAGUGUUCGGGGGGAGUGCGAGGAGGCCUCGAGGUGCCCAGACAAACCCAAGGAGGAGCUGGAGAAGGACUUCAUCUCCCAGAGCAACGACAUGCCCUUUGAUGAGCUGCUUGCGCUCUAUGGCUACGAGGCGUCAGACCCCAUUUCAGACCGGGAGAGUGAGGGUGGUGACGUGGCCCCGAACCUCCCAGACAUGACCCUGGACAAAGAACAAAUAGCGAAGGAUUUGCUUUCAGGGGAAGAAGAGGAAGAGACACAGUCAUCUGCUGACGACCUCACCCCGUCCGUGACCUCCCACGAGGCCUCCGACCUCUUCCCUAACCGGAGUGGAUGUAGGUGACUCUGUCCCCAUACUCCACCGCAGCCAGGCCCCCUGCCAGGCAGUCGUGAUGCUUGAUGAAGGGUCCUUGGGCUGAUGCAGGCCAAGAACUCAUCCCAGAUGAGGGCGUCUGCCUGGCGGGAAACGUCAGUAGCCCUGGGGGUGCUUUGUUCUCCCCCACGCUGGCCAGUGAGCCUGGACUCUCAGAGCGAUUUGGUUUAAACAAGUAGGGAACAUGUUGGUUCCCCUAGCAGAUCCAGGGACAGCAUCCCCAGAACCGGCCUCCUUCACAAGCCUCUGUGCUGGCUUUCCUGGGAACUGAGGGCUCAGGGCCCAGAGGUGCAGCAGCUGCAUAGAAGGGAAGGCCUCUUUCUUCAAAGGUGCAUCCCUGGUCCUGGGUCCUGUGCCCAUCUGUGUACCCAAUGUCUGGCCAGAGAGAGGGUUACGGCCUGGGGAUCAGGUGGAUGGAGAGUGGGAGUGGAGAGAAGGGGUUGUAUAGGCUGCAGGCAGUGGAGACCCUGGGGGA